rnacentral:rRNA from 1 species
UCCGAUCUGGCAAGUUAAGCAACGUUGGGCUCCUUAGUACUUGGAACGGAGACGUCCUGGGAAUCGGGGGUGUCGUAAUCUUUUU